rnacentral:rRNA from 1 species
AAAACGACUCUCGGCAACGGAUAUCUCGGCUCUCGCAUCGAUGAAGAACGUAGCGAAAUGCGAUACUUGGUGUGAAUUGCAGAAUCCCGUGAACCAUCGAGUCUUUGAACGCAAGUUGCGCCCUAAGCCAUUUGGUCGAGGGCACGUCUGCCUGGGCGUCAAU